rnacentral:rRNA from 1 species
AACGAACGCUGGCGGCAUGCCUAACACAUGCAAGUCGAACGAUUGCCUUCGGGUGAUAGUGGCGCACGGGUGCGUAACGCGUGGGAAUCUGCCCUUAGGUUCGGAAUAACAGCUGGAAACGGCUGCUAAUACCGGAUGAUAUCGCGAGAUCAAAGAUUUAUCGCCUGAGGAUGAGCCCGCGUUGGAUUAGGUAGUUGGUGGGGUAAAGGCCUACCAAGCCGACGAUCCAUAGCUGGUCUGAGAGGAUGAUCAGCCACACUGGGACUGAGACACGGCCCAGUCUCCUACGGGAGGCAGCAGUGGGGAAUAUUGGACAAUGGGCGCAAGCCUGAUCCAGCAAUGCCGCGUGAGUGAUGAAGGCCCUAGGGUUGUAAAGCUCUUUUACCCGGGAAGAUAAUGACUGUACCGGGAGAAUAAGCCCCGGCUAACUCCGUG